rnacentral:rRNA from 1 species
GAUGAACGCUGGCGGCGUGCCUAAUACAUGCAAGUCGAGCGAACAGACGAGGAGCUUGCUCCUCUGACGUUAGCGGCGGACGGGUGAGUAACAUGUGGAUAACCUACCUAUAAGACUGGGAUAAUUUCGGGAAACCGGAGCUUAUACCGGAUAAUAUAUUGAACCGCAUGGUUCAAUAGUGAAAGACGGUUUUGCUGUCACUAAUAGAUGGUUCCGCGCCGCAUUAGCUAGUUGGUAAGGUAACGGCUUACCAAGGCAACGAUGCGUAGCCGACCUGAGAGGGUGAUCGGCCACACUGGAACUGAGACACGGUCCAGACUCCUACGGGAGGCAGCAGUAGGGAAUCUUCCGCAAUGGGCGAAAGCCUGACGGAGCAACGCCGCGUGAGUGAUGAAGGUCUUCGGCUCGUAAAACUCUGUUAUUAGGGAAGAACAAAUGUGUAAGUAACUAUGCACGUCUUGACGGUACCUAAUCAGAAAGCCACGGCUAACUACGUG